rnacentral:rRNA from 1 species
AUAAAAAUGGUGAAUUAAAAAUUUUUUUAAAAUUUCUGAUGAGUAAUUUAAAUUUAAAAAUGUUACUUACCUUUUGCAUAAUGGCUUAACUAAUUGCUAUGAUAUUCAAUUGUCCCGAAGUUAAAAGAUCUAACUAACAAUUUUUUUAGAAUAUAUAAUAUUAUGUUUCAAAAUAAUAAUUAAAUGUUUUUUUAGGGGUGAAAGGCUUGUCAAUUUUAACGAUAUCUGGAUUGGUUUAAAAUGUAUUUAGUACAGACUAAAUGUUGAUAUUAAAAAUGUUAAGAUUUUUAAUUUACAGUAAUUAUAAUGCUUUAGAUUUAGGGGUAAUUCUCUAUUAUUACAAAAAAUUAAAUAAUUAAUCCAAAUUUCUGUCUAUUAAAACCAUAUAAUUUAAAUUUUUUUAAAAAUUAAUAAUGUUAAGAUUAGUAUAUAUUUAACUAUUGGUAAAGGAACUCGGCAAAUUUUUCCCUCAACUGUUUAUCAAAAACAUAGCUUUGUGAAUUAAUACAAAGUGGUGCCUGCCCGGUGAAACUUUAACGGCCGCAGUACUUUGACUGUGCUAAGGUAGCAUAAUCAUUUGGCUUUUAAUUGGGGUCUUGUAUGAAGGAAGAAUGGGGUAAUACUGUCUCUACUAAAUUUAAUAAAAGUUGCUAAUAAGGUGAAAAUACCUUAAAAAAUAUACUAGACGAGAAGACCCUAGGAGUUUAAUAUAUAUUUUGUUGGGGCGACACAACAACAUUUAACUUGUUGAAUUAUACUUAUAUAUCGGAUAUUUCAUAUAAAUAUAAGCUACCCUAGGGAUAACAGCAUAAUUUAUUAAGUUUGUGACCUCGAUGUUGGACUAGGGUAAUUUUAUUAUUAAAAAUAAUAAAAGGUAGUUCUGUUCGAACUUAUUUCCCUACAUGAUCUGAGUUCAGACCGGCGAAAGCCAGGUCAGUUUCUAUCUUUUUUGAUUAUAUUAUUAGUACGAAAGGACCAUAAUAUUAUAAAUAAUUUGUU